ensembl:lncRNA
UGAGAUUUAUCAGCUAAAAGUGAAUAUCGCUCAAAACUGACGGUUGUGUCGAAAAUCUGCUGGUAGGCAGGAGGGGUUCGGUGGGGUUCCAGGCAUGUUCGGCUGGCCCGUGGCUAUUUUUAACUGGCUUGGAGCCAUGUUCAACUUAAAUCUUUUUUACUUCCUUGAUCCUGAGCCCCCUGCGCUGUCUGCUAUAGAUGUUGCUGUCCAGGCCCUUGAAAAUCAUUUGGGCACUCUCCUUCUUCUACUCAUAUACAUUAUUUUGCACCUUAGUACAAAUUAUUUAUCAGUGUUUUUAAAGGAUGACACCUUUAAUGACAUGGUCUUCGAUUCACUCAACAAAUGGGCUGAAUGCAGUUUUAUGGACAGUAGUGAAUGCACCCUCGGGCUCUUCCUCUCUCACCUGAGUCGGAUAGAAAAUUUACUGGAGGCUGAUGGCUCCUCUGAGGAUUCUUCAGACAUCACCUGUGCUGGGUCUUGCCAUGAGCAGGCCACUUCCUGUAGAGAUGGCAACACCAAAAGCAGGGAGGAUGGAGACCUGAGUGUCACCACAAGUCAUGGCUCAGGUCAACUAAAGAUCUCUCUUUGGACGCAGCUACCGUUGGAUCGCCUGCCAUGCAGUGAGCCCAUGGAUGAUAUGGAGCCUUCGACAACAUCUACUUUUAACCAGGCCAACCAAGAACAAUCGCAGGGACCCAAGACAGUCAGUCUGUCACAUUGUGAGAGACGCAUCAAAAACAAAGUUGCCCACAAGCGCUGGAGACUGGCCUUCUUGAUGAUCCAAAUUGUGAGGAUGCUGCUGCCAGCAAGGCUUAAAACACAAACGCCAACUUCUCUCAGAGUCAAAACCAAGACUGUGAGAACAGCCACCAGGCUUCCUUGUUUCCUCACACGGUCAAAGAGUGAGGCAGCAAACUCCAACCCGAAACCCUUCCUGAUGUUCUCCCAAGUCAUCAGACCGUCCUUCAUCCCUGACAUGGUCCGGCAGAGGCUGGAGGCUCAUGUGCGCCGUAAGACAAGUCAGCGCCUGUGGGGAUUUCCCAAUCAGGUCAUCAAAUAUGUGGGAGACCAUGUGGUCCCACUGAAUGCCGGUAAUGGCAGGUCUGUGCGCAAUGCUGUUAUGAAUCAGCUCUUAAAGGCACAAGGCCUGUGCUUGAAAAGGAGAACUGAAGUCACUGAGAAAUUACAGAACCUGUCAAAGCCCUCCAGGAAGGAGAUGGGUGUGCUGAUUUGUAACAAACAGCUUGCAGAACACCCCGAAAUCCUCAUGAGAGCAGCCACUCCAUCCAUUGUUCUGGAUGGUAUGUUGGAGGAAGUGACAUCAGUCGAGAUGAGGCUCAAGAACAAACUCAGCAGGAAAUGCUUGGAGGUAAAACUCUCCAGAAUUCCAGGAAAGGUGCUUCAGUCAUACCACACAGCGCCCUACAUUGCUAAACAGCAAAAGACCCAUCCAGCUUUGACACAGCAGAGCUCCCCCUGCAGGCUAAGACAUAGAGUCCAUCUCUUGAGAAGAAAGACUCUACCAUUUAUGAGUGAGGAAGACCUGAGCCACAUAGAACUCAACCUGAAACUUAAGCACACCGAAAACCAGCAGGGGAAGUCAACACAUUACACCCUCUCUCUAGAAAAAAUGGUUAGAAUAAACUAGAUAAAUAUUACAAUAACUAAAUAAACACUUGCAUUGAAAGUCAUGAAAGCACCUGUGUCAGCAUAUAUAUUGGUUUUAUUUUUGUUUUGU